CGGUGGGAAAGGGUCUGAAAUGGCUCUUUUGAUGUUGAAGGUUGCAGACCCCUGCCCUCGGGGGUCACGAGGAGUCACGCUGUAUGGAUCUUGGGUCUUUGCAGGCCUGGAGAGUGUCACGUAAAUUUGCUUUUUCCAUUUUACGAUCUCGUGAUGGCUGUGUGGGGGAAUCUUUAGAUCCUGUUUUGGGAGUGUGUUUAUUCUGCAGCUAUUUAGUGGGUCUGUUCCGCAGAGGCCUUACACAAUGAAGAACAGA